CAGCACGUAGCUAAGCUAGAAUAGCACCUCCCUUACACCGAGAAGGCACCUGUGCAAAUCGGGUCGCGCUGA
rnacentral:tRNA from 1 species